GACGUAGGAUGCAAACGUUGUCCGGAUUUAUUGGGCGUAAAGAGUUCGUAGGCGGUUCGUUAAGUCUGAUGUUAAAGACUGGGGCUCAACCCCGGGAGUGCAUUGGAUACUGGCGGACUGGAGUGUGGUAGAGGCUAGUGGAAUUCCCAGUGUAGCGGUGAAAUGCGUAGAUAUUGGGAAGAACACCAGUGGCGUAGGCGACUAGCUGGGCCAUAACUGACGCUGAGGAACGAAAGCCAGGGGAGCGAAUGGG
rnacentral:rRNA from 1 species